rnacentral:tRNA from 1 species
GCGCCUGUGGCGGAAUUGGUAGACGCGCAAGGUUGAGGGCCUUGUGACCCAUAUGGGUCGUGGAGGUUCAAGUCCUCUCGGGCGCA